rnacentral:rRNA from 1 species
AUUGAACGCUGGCGGAAUGCUUUACACAUGCAAGUCGAACGGUAGAGGGGGCAACCCCUCGAGAGUGGCGAACGGGUGAGUAAUAUAUCGGAACGUGCCCAGUCGUGGGGGAUAACGUAGCGAAAGUUACGCUAAUACCGCAUACGAUCUAAGGAUGAAAGCGGGGGAUCGCAAGACCUCGCGCGAUUGGAGCGGCCGAUAUCAGAUUAGGUAGUUGGUGGGGUAGAGGCUCACCAAGCCAACGAUCUGUAGCUGGUCAGAGAGGACGGCCAGCCAAACUGGAAAUGAGACACGGUCCAGACUCCUACGGGAGGCAGCAGUGGGGAAUGUUGGACAAUGGACGCAAGUCUGAUCCAGCCAUUCCGCGUGCAGGAUGUAGGCCCUCGGGUUGUAAACUGCUUUUGUACGGAACGAAAAGGUCUCUCUUAAUACGGGGGACUCAUGACGGUACCGUAAGAAUAAGCACCGGCUAACUACGUGCCAGCCGCCGCCGUAA